GGGUUGUGAGGUUAAGCGACUAAGCGUACACGGUGGAUGCCCUGGCAGUCAGAGGCGAUGAAGGACGUGCUAAUCUGCGAAAAGCGUCGGUAAGGUGAUAUGAACCGUUAUAACCGGCGAUGUCCGAAUGGGGAAACCCAGUGCAAUUCGUUGCACUAUCGUUAACUGAAUACAUAGGUUAACGAGGCGAACCGGGGGAACUGAAACAUCUAAGUACCCCGAGGAAAAGAAAUCAACCGAGAUUCCCCCAGUAGCGGCGAGCGAACGGGGAGCAGCCCAGAGUCUGAAUCAGCUUGUGUGUUAGUGGAACGGUCUGGAAAGUCCGACGGUACAGGGUGAUAGUCCCGUACACCAAAAUGCACAGGUUGUGAACUCGAAGAGUAGGGCGGGACACGUGGUAUCCUGUCUGAAUAUGGGGGGACCAUCCUCCAAGGCUAAAUACUCCUGACUGACCGAUAGUGAACCAGUACCGUGAGGGAAAGGCGAAAAGAACCCCGGCGAGGGGAGUGAAAAAGAACCUGAAACCGUGUACGUACAAGCAGUGGGAGCACCUUCGGGUGUGACUGCGUACCUUUUGUAUAAUGGGUCAGCGACUUAUAUUCUGUAGCAAGGUUAACCGUAUAGGGGAGCCGCAGGGAAACCGAGUCUUAACUGGGCGUUAAGUUGCAGGGUAUAGACCCGAAACCCGGUGAUCUAGCCAUGGGCAGGUUGAAGGUUGGGUAACACUAACUGGAGGACCGAACCGACUAAUGUUGAAAAAUUAGCGGAUGACUUGUGGCUGGGGGUGAAAGGCCAAUCAAACCGGGAGAUAGCUGGUUCUCCCCGAAAGCUAUUUAGGUAGCGCCUCGUGAAUUCAUCUUCGGGGGUAGAGCACUGUUUCGGCUAGGGGGUCAUCCCGACUUACCAACCCGAUGCAAACUACGAAUACCGAAGAAUGUUAUCACGGGAGACACACGGCGGGUGCUAACGUCCGUCGUGAAGAGGGAAACAACCCAGACCGCCAGCUAAGGUCCCAAAGUCAUGGUUAAGUGGGAAACGAUGUGGGAAGGCACAGACAGCCAGGAUGUUGGCUUAGAAGCAGCCAUCAUUUAAAGAAAGCGUAAUAGCUCACUGGUCGAGUCGGCCUGCGCGGAAGAUGUAACGGGGCUAAACCAUGCACCGAAGCUGCGGCAGCGACACUAUGUGUUGUUGGGUAGGGGAGCGUUCUGUAAGCCUGCGAAGGUGUGCUGUGAGGCAUGCUGGAGGUAUCAGAAGUGCGAAUGCUGACAUAAGUAACGAUAAAGCGGGUGAAAAGCCCGCUCGCCGGAAGACCAAGGGUUCCUGUCCAACGUUAAUCGGGGCAGGGUGAGUCGACCCCUAAGGCGAGGCCGAAAGGCGUAGUCGAUGGGAAACAGGUUAAUAUUCCUGUACUUGGUGUUACUGCGAAGGGGGGACGGAGAAGGCUAUGUUAGCCGGGCGACGGUUGUCCCGGUUUAAGCAUGUAGGCUGGUUGUCCAGGCAAAUCCGGAUAAUCAAGGCUGAGGUGUGAUGACGAGGCACUACGGUGCUGAAGUAACAAAUGCCCUGCUUCCAGGAAAAGCCUCUAAGCAUCAGGUAACAUCAAAUCGUACCCCAAACCGACACAGGUGGUCAGGUAGAGAAUACCAAGGCGCUUGAGAGAACUCGGGUGAAGGAACUAGGCAAAAUGGUGCCGUAACUUCGGGAGAAGGCACGCUGGUGUGUAGGUGAAGUCCCUGCGGAUGGAGCUGAGACCAGUCGAAGAUACCAGCUGGCUGCAACUGUUUAUUAAAAACACAGCACUGUGCAAACACGAAAGUGGACGUAUACGGUGUGACGCCUGCCCGGUGCCGGAAGGUUAAUUGAUGGGGUUAUCCGUAAGGAGAAGCUCUUGAUCGAAGCCCCGGUAAACGGCGGCCGUAACUAUAACGGUCCUAAGGUAGCGAAAUUCCUUGUCGGGUAAGUUCCGACCUGCACGAAUGGCGUAAUGAUGGCCAGGCUGUCUCCACCCGAGACUCAGUGAAAUUGAACUCGCUGUGAAGAUGCAGUGUACCCGCGGCAAGACGGAAAGACCCCGUGAACCUUUACUAUAGCUUGACACUGAACAUUGAGCCUUGAUGUGUAGGAUAGGUGGGAGGCUUUGAAGCGUGGACGCCAGUCUGCGUGGAGCCAACCUUGAAAUACCACCCUUUAAUGUUUGAUGUUCUAACGUUGGCCCCUGACCGGGGUUGCGGACAGUGUCUGGUGGGUAGUUUGACUGGGGCGGUCUCCUCCCAAAGCGUAACGGAGGAGCACGAAGGUUAGCUAAUCCUGGUCGGACAUCAGGAGGUUAGUGCAAUGGCAUAAGCUAGCUUGACUGCGAGCGUGACGGCGCGAGCAGGUGCGAAAGCAGGUCAUAGUGAUCCGGUGGUUCUGAAUGGAAGGGCCAUCGCUCAACGGAUAAAAGGUACUCCGGGGAUAACAGGCUGAUACCGCCCAAGAGUUCAUAUCGACGGCGGUGUUUGGCACCUCGAUGUCGGCUCAUCACAUCCUGGGGCUGAAGUAGGUCCCAAGGGUAUGGCUGUUCGCCAUUUAAAGUGGUACGCGAGCUGGGUUUAGAACGUCGUGAGACAGUUCGGUCCCUAUCUGCCGUGGGCGCUGGAGAAUUGAGGGGGGCUGCUCCUAGUACGAGAGGACCGGAGUGGACGCAUCACUGGUGUUCGGGUUGUCAUGCCAAUGGCACUGCCCGGUAGCUAAAUGCGGAAGAGAUAAGUGCUGAAAGCAUCUAAGCACGAAACUUGCCCCGAGAUGAGUUCUCCCUGAGACUUUAAGUCUCCUGAAGGAACGUUAAAGACGAUGACGUUGAUAGGCCGGGUGUGUAAGCGCAGCGAUGCGUUGAGCUAACCGGUACUAAUGAACCGUGAGGCUUAACCUUACAACGCCGAAG
rnacentral:rRNA from 2 species